rnacentral:pre_miRNA from 1 species
CUAGUACUCCCCCCGUCCCAAAAUUCUUGUCUUAGAUUUGUCUAGAUAUGGAUGUAUCUAGUUACGUUUUAGUGUUAGAUACAUCCGUAUCUAGACAAAUUUAAGACAAGAAUUUUGGGACGGAGGGAGUAUCUA